rnacentral:rRNA from 1 species
AGGUGCGAUCAUACCAGCACUAAUGAACCGGAUCCCAUCAGAACUUCGCAGUUAAGCGUGCUUGGGCGAGAGUAGU